UGGACUGAUGAUGACAACUGGUGGCGUAUGACUCAUACAGAAUGAAUACUAUGUGUCUGGAACUCUGAGGUCCAA